AUACAGAGGGUGCGAGCGUUAAUCGGAAUUACUGGGCGUAAAGCGCGCGUAGGCGGCUUGGUCAGUCGGAUGUGAAAGCCCCGGGCUCAACCUGGGAAUGGCAUUCGAUACUGCCAGGCUAGAGUAUGGGAGAGGGAAGUGGAAUUUCCGGUGUAGCGGUGAAAUGCGUAGAUAUCGGAAAGAACACCAGUGGCGAAGGCAACUUCCUGGCCCAAUACUGACGCUGAGGUGCGAAAGCGUGGGGAGCGAACAGGAUUAGAAACCCUAGUAGUCC
rnacentral:rRNA from 1 species